UACGUAGGAGGCGAGCGUUGUCCGGAAUUACUGGGCGUAAAGCGCACGUAGGCGGCUUUGUAAGUUAGAGGUGAAAGCCCAGGGCUUAACCCUGGAAUUGCCUUUAAGACUGCAUCGCUAGAAUCGUGGAGAGGUGAGUGGAAUUCCGAGUGUAGAGGUGAAAUUCGUAGAUAUUCGGAAGAACACCAGUGGCGAAGGCGACUCACUGGACACGUAUUGACGCUGAGGUGCGAAAGCGUGGGGAGCAAACAGG
rnacentral:rRNA from 1 species